GAGCUCGAUGAGUAGGGCGGGACACGUGGUAUCCUGUCUGAAUAUGGGGGGCCCAUCCUCCAAGGCUAAAUACUCCUGACUGACCGAUAGUGAACCAGUACCGUGAGGGAAAGGCGAAAAGAACCCCGGCGAGGGGAGUGAAAAAGAACCUGAAACCGUGUACGUACAAGCAGUGGGAGCACGCUUAGGCGUGUGACUGCGUACCUUUUGUAUAAUGGGUCAGCGACUUAUAUUCUGUAGCAAGGUUAACCGAAUAGGGGAGCCGAAGGGAAACCGAGUCUUAACUGGGCGUUAAGUUGCAGGGUAUAGACCCGAAACCCGGUGAUCUAGCCAUGGGCAGGUUGAAGGUUGGGUAACACUAACUGGAGGACCGAACCGACUAAUGUUGAAAAAUUAGCGGAUGACUUGUGGCUGGGGGUGAAAGGCCAAUCAAACCGGGAGAUAGCUGGUUCUCCCCGAAAGCUAUUUAGGUAGCGCCUCGUGAAUUCAUCUCCGGGGGUAGAGCACUGUUUCGGCA
rnacentral:rRNA from 1 species